AAAGAAACUUGCUCACAUUAAAGUUAAAAGGAGGUUAUCCUAAGGAUACAAGGAUGUUUACAAGGAAUCCUGGGAAGACUGAACAAUUGAGCUGCAGAGACAGUGGAAACUGAGAGUUGGUUGUCUUAUGUGUCUAGCCUUACGGAUAUUUGGUUACAAGGAAUGGGAAACAACUCAAGUCAAAUUAAACAAAAAUAGAAGGCAUCAAAUGCAAGUCAAAGGAAGAAAGCUACAAAACCAAUUCAAUAACAUCUGAAGCCUGAGAGGAAAAUGAAAGACAAGAGGCUGUGGCUGCAGCUGUGUCUGCUGACAACAGGAUAAAAAUGGUUGCAUUGAGAGUGAGCUGCAUUUUCACCAGGCAGAGCAAACUGGGAGCUAAUGUGUUUCUUGGAAAUCAAAAGAGGACUCCAAGAAUAGAAGCUUUUAAGAGGACUGGCUGGAGAGUCAAAGAAGAUCCAUUAGCUUCUGGACCACUGAAAACCUAAGGGCUGAUGGUGGGGCAGGGUAAGUGGCCGGCAGCAGGGAGACAUUUUCUGUAUCUAGGAUGGUAUAGAAAAGACCCCCACUGGACAGAUCUACAAAGAACAACUAAAGAGUCUCAUGGUAGAACAGGUCAGCUCUGGACAUCAUUCAAAUCCAGGGGAGCCUCUUAUACUGGAUUGCAAUUGUGUUGGGCAUGUACAAUGGUGUUCUUUUUCUCUAAUGGCUUCUUUCUUCUGGUCAGUCUCUGGAAGGGGUGAAAGAGUGAGAAAUAGUAGCCAGCAAGUGUAGAAAGAGAUGUGGAAGAGAGAACGGGGAAACAGAAAUUGCAUUUCUCCCACGUUCCAAAUGUAGGUUAUCCGGGUUAAAUGUAGGCCCCACCUGACUAGGCAAAGAUUUUUUCCUUUGUUGUGAGUUUGAAAAGAACUAAACAUCAUACUGAAGUGGAAUUAUUGAAAUUGGAUAGACC
rnacentral:lncRNA from 1 species